rnacentral:miRNA from 1 species
GUUGGUGCAAAAGUAACUGCGGUUUUUGCAAUUAAAAGUAACAGUAAAAACCACAAUUACUUUUCCAUCAA